CUAGUUAACCUGAGUUCAGCAAAUUCUAUUCUAUUCUAUGAUUUAAUGUAGAACCGGGUGAAUUUGGGUGAAGUCAGUAUGUGUUCAUUGAAUGGCCUCCCUGGGCCCAGCUGUAUUAGGCAUCAGGAGGCUGUGAAAUCAACACAGUGGUCUUCCUCUUAACGACCCCACUGGAUGAAUAUCCUCGCUGUCCUCCAGCCCCUCCACUGCCCCAUCUCAUCUGGGUCUCGAGCUCCGACCCUCACCCUCUGUUGCACCUUCACCCCCACUUCCACUUCCCCCUAGACUUGUCUCUCUGAGUGUCCUUGAGCUUCUUGAAGUCAGCUUGACCUAAACGGAGUUCAGCCCUUGGCCCAUGUGUGCAUCCUCUCCAUGAAGUCCCUCUGGGUGAGGGAGCCCCCACCAGCGGACUCCUCCACCCCCAGGCAGGACUCCUCCCCACCCUGCCUUGCCGAUGUGCCAACCCCCUGGAUGCACUGCCUCGGGAACCCUGUCACCUUCUCCCUCCUGUCUUCAGCCUUGGGCUGCACACUGACCUCCCCCUCUUCACAAACCACCAAAUGGCUGCUACACUUACAAAUGGGGACGCAGAGGUGACACAGGCAGGUGUGAUUGGAAAUGGUGAGCAGCAUCGCAGAGCAGAGCGCAGACCAGGGCUCCCGAGAGGGCAGAGAAUGGCUAUUGUGGCAUCAGGACGGCCAUAAAGGGGGCGAGGUGGGCACCCACGGCAGCCCCUCUCCAUGUUCCCCAGGAGCCCUGCGUCUCAGCCUCGGCUUGGGCUGGCUGCCCCUCCUUCUGUCUGUUAGGUGGGUGCCUGUUCAUUCGUUCACUCACUCAUUCGCUCAUCAUGGACUUGGUUCCUGCCUGGUGCCAGGCCCUGGCUAGAUGAUGGCUGGUCCUUGGAGACCCAGCUCAGACCUCGUCUCCUCCAUGAAGCCGUUCUUGAUCCCCACCCCCUCCUGCAGCCCCUGUGGCCUCACCUGGGCCCCCAGUGCUGUGAUCACACUCUGAUGAGCUCUCCAAGCUGUGAGCCUUCGGGGGGCUCUGGGCCAGAUGCAGAAAUGGGUUCAGACAUGGGAUGAUGGCUAAAACCCUGAAUACACGAGAGGAUUACCUACGGGCCUGAUGGGGGUCAAGUUCACCUUCUCUCUCCCUCCUGGACCAGGGCUCUUCAUUCCCAGGAACUGAGCGACCUCACCCUGUGCUCAUUUUGACCCUUAUCCAUCGAUUUUCUUUCAAUGUUAAUUCUUUUUAAACUCUGAAGUCAGGUCAUGAGUGUGUUCCUCAGUAAUGAGAAACUUAAUUAUCACUUCAAGGGAGGGAAUGCAUCUGUGGUGCCUGAACCAAGACAGAACAAUGUGGAAAGCACAGGAUGCUGAGGAGGAGCCGGCUCAGGGGCUGGGCCUCGGGGCAGCAGAAAGAGGGGAGACAGAGACUUAGAUGGAGACAGAGCUGCCAGGGUGGGGUUCAAGCCGGGAGGAGUGGGAGUCCAGGGGCCUCCACACAUGAGGGUGGCGGCUUCCGGAGUCCCCCUCUGUCACGUACAAGCCGUGUUUCUCAUCCUGCAGCACCUCCAGGCCUUAGGACGAGCUGGUCUUCCCGCAGGAGCGCCUUUGCUCUGCUCUCCAGACAACAGUGCCCUCACGCUGGGAGACUCUGCCCUCUGGGCAUCUGUUCCUCAGCCUGCCUGUCCUGUACCCCCACCCCCACCAUGACACACGCAGCCCGCUCUGUGCUUAGGUCACCUGGUUGUCAUCGUCUGAGGCUGGCCUAUCUGCUUGUGUGAGAGAUCGGCAGACCUGGCUUCUAAGCCUUUCAAGUCUGCGUGACCUUGGACCAGUCCCUUGUCCCUUUGGAGGCUCAGUUGGAGGCUCAGUUUCUCACUAUAAGUGGGUCUGGCAGUGGCCUCCUUACUGUGGCGCUGUGCUCUCUGAGCUGCUGGAGAUGGCGCAUUGGAUGGGUGCCUUUGGCUGGUGCCCUUGGUGCUGACCCCAGGGUCAUGGGCCCAGCGUGCCCAGGGUUUGUGGAACACCCGGCUGUAGUGAUGCAUGAGGUAGUGGGAGAUGGGCAGGAGGUCAGGGUGCAACUUUGGAGUCAGAAGACACAGCAUUCCUUGGGGACACUUCACUGAGCCCCUGGUCCCGGGCCUCGCCCACCCACACCCCUUCUCAGCUGCCUUCGGGGAACUCAGUGGACCCCUGCUCUAAGGCUGCAUUCCCCGUGCAUCUAACCCAGGCCCGACACUGCUGUGGUCACAUCCCGGGUGAAGAAGUGAAGCUCCAUGGGGCUAACGGGAGGACGACAAAUUCAGAUGCCUCCAGGGGUCAGGCUGGCACAGGCUGUGGAGGACCUGGGCAGGGGGAAGCUUAGGGAGUAGCAAGCUGGGAGCACAAGCGCUGUCCAGAGAGUGGCUGCAGCUCAGCUCCAGAAGAGCGUUGCCUUGAGGGACUGUCACACGUGGCCGCAUCUCAUUUCAUACAUAAAAUAAGCUAGACAGCUGGAAUUUUGUCGGUAAUCUUCCAGUUUUUAAAUGUUAGUGUUAACGUUUAAAAUCUAGAUUUGCCGCUAUUCCCUGUGUUGAUUUAAAAUGCUUGGCUGUGUGUGGGCUCAGGAGCAGCUGGCACACUGGAUGCUCUUGUGACUCUAUUCCCCCUCCUAGCUCCCUCACCUAGUGCUUCCUUUUGCAUGUUCAGGGGACAGCUUCAUCCCCCAAGGCAGAGUAUGUUCGCCUGUUGGCUCCUGGGUGGCUGGCUGCCAUAUGGGGGCGCUGGGCUCUUGGGGGAGUCACCCGUUCCUGCAGCGGCCCCAUGGCAGGUGGUGCUAUCCAAGCCCACUCACACAUACCUGGCGCGUCCAUCCACCCUCUGUUAGACUCGCUCUGCUCUAUCCUGCCUCUCCCUUUAUGUUGUGGCAUCCCUUACUUGCUCAUCCCCACCUAGGAAUCCAGAUCCCCCAUCUGUUGUCAGGACUUCUGUUUUCCUCUUCAUCUCACCUCUUGAUCAGAGGGAAAGUAUUUUGACUCCGAGAGGAAGAAAGUCUGAAACUAGAGUUUCCUCUUUGGGCUGAAGAUCACUCGUCAGCCUAGGCCCACAGUGCAUCUGGCUUUGAGGUCAGCAUUGCAGCUUAUUCCUCCUUUUAGACUUUUAGUGGCUCAAAUAAGGCUGAGGUUUAAGCCUGGUCAGCCCUGCUGAAGGCCUUAAGGACUGUGUGUCCAUUAAAAACAUGUUUGGUUAUAUUUGUUUAAAUGUUACGCUGUUGGAAAUACAGGGACUCGUAGUUUGAUUUUAGACUUAAACAAAAUUGUAACUUUGUAAUAUUUCAAUUUUAUUGUAGAUCAAAUCAACUUUUAGGAGCCGACUUAAACACCUAACCAUGCUCUACUAACUGCCACUGUGGGGAAAUGCGUUUUAUGUGCAGCGUGUUUGACUUGCAAGUGGAAUUUUGAAGUACAGCCACUAGAAUGCUGGAAUUAGCCUCUUCUACACUAUUUGAGGCUUAAUUUCGAGUUGCCUUGAAUUCAUUCUGUACUUAGUAAAUGAAAUUUGAUGUGUCUCUCCCAGGCUAUUUGUGUCCUCUCUCACGGUAAGGCCGAUGACAUGCUCAUAGAAGGUAGUUAAUAAGUGCCUGCUGGAUGAACAAAGACUAGGGCCCACAGUCCUUAGUAUUUAGGGGUUUUUUAAUGUCCCUGUUUUGUUCUGGGUUGCAGAUAGUUUGAUAUGUGUCUUAAUUUGCCCUGUGGCUAUUGUUCUUGAUGUUUAGUUUGUUUUCUAGAAUUGUGAGUUCCUACAUGGUAGCCACUAGCCACAUGUGGCUAUUGAGCACUUGAAAUGUGACUAGUGUGACUCAGGAACAGAAUUUUAAUUUUAAUUAAGACAUUUAAAUUUAAAAAUUCAUGAUUGAUUUAGCUAUUGGAAAAUGUUUAAGUAUGUUUGGAGUGUCUUGAGAGGUGAAUCUACUGAUUUUAAGUUCUGUGUGUGGCUCCUGUAUUUCUUGUGGACUGUGCUAUUCUGGAUGUUCCCCCUUGAUGUCGAAGACCCGAUACUAAGUCUAGGGCGUGAGGAAGGGAACUGAGGGGUAAGAGGGCUGGGACGCCAUUGACGCUGACAGUGUAGGACGUGAGCCCGCUUGGGGAGUCGGAGCUCACGAUAGGGAAGGCAGGAACAUACUGAAGUAUAUGGCACUGAAGUUCAGCCUGGCAUUUGGGAAGAAAGGGCAGGGCUGACAGGGCAAGAGGAAAGGUUGUAGGAUAGAGCAGCAUAGAAAGGAUAAAAGAGAAGUAAAUGCUUUUGUAGUAGAAAUUAGUGGAAGCAUUCCCUUGCUCUUUGUGAGGGAUGACAGGCCGUAAUGGGCUAUCUUACUCUCUUGAUGAAGCUCGGACAACAUGGAAGAGUCUCCCGGAGACACUGGAACACCUUCUGUUCAGAGACACUGAAUGCAAUGAGGCAGGCAUUAAUAGGCAACCGAGGACAGCUGUUCUUUGUUAUGGAAGCAUUGCCUCUAUGUCACAUGGAGGAGGAGCCCUUUAGGAACAUGAGCUGGACUUUUCAUUCAUUCAGCAAACGUUUAUUGAGUACCUACUGUGUGCCAGGCACCGUACCAGGCGGUAUCGAAACAAAAGUGAAUGAAGUUGUACGUGAAUAUUCAUAGCAGCAGUAUUCACAGUCUCCAAAAAGAGGAAACAAACCAACUGUCUAUCAGCUGAGCAAUGGAUGAACAAAAUAUGGUUUGUCCAUACAGUAGGGUAUUAUUUAGUUAUAAAAGAGAAUUAAGUGUUGACUCAUGCUACAAUAUGGAUGAACCUUGAAAACAUGCUAAGUGAAAGAAGCCAGGCACAGGAGGCAACAUGUUGUAUGAUUCCAUUAUGUGAAAGGUCCAAAAUGGCCAAAUGCAUAGAGACAGAGAGUAGAUUAGUGGUUGCCAAGGGAUGCCUAGAGGGGGCAAUGGGACAGACUGCUAGUAGGGAUGGAGUUUCUUUUUGGGGAGAUGGAACUAUUCUGGAAUUCGGUAGUGGUGGGAUUUGCACAAAAUAGUGAAUACACUAAAAACCACUGAAGUAUACACUUUAAAAUGGUGAAUUUUAUGUUAUAUGAAUUUUACCUUAAUUUAAAAAUAUGAAAAAAAAAGCGAAUGAAGCAAAUUCUCUCCCCUCCAGGAGCUCAUCAGACAGAUUACACAUAACACAUAGUUACUGGGCACCGUGGGAGUACACUGCUGGUCUGUACAUGGAAGCACACACCUCGGGGGGCCUAGCCUAGUUUGGGCUGGUCAGAAAGUGUUCCCAGAGUCUCUGUCUUUAAGGAGGAGUAGAUGGGACUUGGGAAUUGAGUCACUCAGAUUUAGUUGUUUGCUGCUUUAUUUGGAAAAUCCAUAAAAUUCCUGGGCCUUAGAUAAGGGCUAUCUGCCUGAACGUGAGUCUUCUGCCCUGAGGGUCUCUGGAACCUGAGGACCGGGAAAACAAAGGAAUACCCCAGAUGCAAGGACACUUCUGGACUUCUGGGAGCGGGAAACUGGUGAGAACCGCUCUUGGUCAGGGUUCUUGGUUGAGAAGACACAACCCUCCUGCUGGAUUGCAGGGAUCCAUGGGGAGGCUUAAGAGAUGGAAUCUGGGCUGAGCCAGUGUCAUUUCCCAAGCGUCACAUUAGAACUGAGCCUCCAAAGAUGCUUCUCCUGCCUCCUUGAUCAGGAAGCCAACUAGCGGCCUAUGGAAUUGGGAAGCUGGUGCUACAGCUGCUGACAAGGGAACCACACUGCUUCUACCAAAGUCAGGAAGCCACUGUGACAAUUGCGACCCCAGAACCAGGUUUCUGCUACUGUGAUCUGCACCAGCACAAUUAAUCUGAUAUGCCCUCCCUCUCUCCUCAUCAAACUGUUGCACGUUCAAAACUCCAGCAAAUGCAUCUGAGUGGAGGAACCUAAACGGCGUGGAGAAACCUAGGUGCAAGAGAGUAUGGAAAACAGUUUUUUGUUUUCAGCCUCUGUGGUAGAGGAAGACGCAGUAGAUACUGAUUCAGCCAGUUCACAGAGGCUGCCAUAAGGUCCUUUCCAGAAUUUAUCUCAAUACUCAUGAUUUAACCUCAGUCUGCUGCACUUUGGGCCUGUAGAUUAAUUCCUAAUGGAUGGGCACAUUGUGCCCAGUGGUGACUUUUUGGUCUCUCCAGUUAUAGGACAACUUAUUGCAAGGUCAGGUGAUACUCUUGGCUUCUUGAUUUCUGCAUUUCCUUUCACUUAUGUUUUGUUUAUUCGUUCAGCAUGCGUUGGAAAUAAAGGAUGUAAAAGUAGCAUCGAUGUCCUCCAGGAGAAGAUGCAGACAGGCAGUUGGACAUGAUUGCCAUCUGGGAAGUGGGGGCACCUGUACAGACACAGGGGUGGAUUGCCCACAGCAGGGUGUCUGUGCAUGGGGGAUGCUUUGGAAAGGAGGUAGCUUUAGAGCUGAGAUGUGAGGAGUGGUUAGGAAAGUGGAAAGAGGGAAGAGAACGGCACAGCGUGGGCAGAGCUCUCUGUUCAGGCAGUAGAUGGAGAGGAGCAUGUGGAUGGAGAUGAGCGGCUGGGAGUGAGGCUAUGGUCUGAGCCAUAGAGGAGGAGCCCUAUGCAGAGUGCUAAGGAGGCCCUUUUUCUCCUGAGGGAAGAGGCCUGCCAUCAAUAAAUGCAGAUCUGACCGAUGGGAAGUUGGGUGAGGAAUGGUGAGGAAAAGUGGGAGUGGGGUGAGGCUGGAGGCCCGAGACCAGGCAAGAGGCCAGCACACUAACCGUGCAGGUGAGGGAUGGUGUGAGCGUGGGCAGAGCAGAAGCCUUCAGUUGGUUUUCUUCAACGGUUCAUGUAACCUUAUUUCCUUAUAAACUACUUAAAGGUAAGUGAGGUUGGGUGUUUUGCAUUGUGCUUUUUGUUUUGAGUUGAAUGGUCUUUUAUUGUUAUACUUGCUUUUCAAAAAUAAAAAAGCAUAGAUAUUAAACAGAACCUAAAAAUAAACUAAUUCAAGCUAAAGUGCAUUGGUGAGUUUCUUUGAAUUUAAGGUUGUGUGAUGUGAACACACCACAUUAUUGACAUUGUGCUUGGGUUAUGUUUGAGAAUAAAAAAUGGCCUGCACUUGAGGUGUGAAAGUAGCCAUUAGAGAGCAUGUUUAGCUUGAGCAAACACACCCAUGUUUGUUUAUACAGAUAUUUAUAAGGCUUUCAGCUUAAACUGUGGAUCCGAAAUGCAGUUCCUGAUUCAAGGAAUAAUGAUUGCCCUGAAAAAGAAAGUUGCACUCUGCAUUAUCUGAGAGUUCCCAUUUAUGUUAUUUAUAUGGCAAAUAUGAUGACUGGCCUUUUAUUCAAAAACAGUGAAAUAUGUCUGCAGUUUAGGCACUUAAAACAUUUUCUCCAGUCCCUAAAUAGCCUAAGCCUAAAUCCUCUUUGGUGCUUUUCUUAUAAAAAUGGAACCAAAAUGCAUUUGACCAAAUUUAUGUGAUUUUUGAAUAGUAAUCGAACUCCCCUUUUUUGUGGCCUGCAGGAGAUAUGGAUUUAGCCGCCAGAGCCAAACAGAGAAGGUAAGAAAAGCCUGGAUAAUGGAAGAGAAUAUUUGAGAGACGGAAGUGCCCCCUCCUUUGCCUCUGUCUGCAGUGACAGGCUGCCUAGCAGCGGUGGGAUGGCCGGGUUGCUGCCGGCCAGGCUCUCGUCCUUGGCCAACGCGAGGCAGCAGGGAUGUGCCAGCUGCCUGUGGCCACUGCAUCCCCCUCCUGCAUCACCAGCCUGCUGCCUCCAAAGGCCAGGGAGCUGAAGCAGCAGCCUCAUCGUGGGGCUGGAAGUGAAGGGUGAUUGAAAGUCAUGGCCCGGGGUCAGACACUGGGUUCUCAUAACUCCAGACGUGUGAAGAUGAAGUGCACUCACAGGGCCCUGAACCCUCCUCAUCUGAUGAGACAGACCCUAGGCAGGUGUGGACAGGAUGCUGGCAGUGAGAGAGAACACAAGCAUAAAUUACAGGCCUGCCCUGUGCUAGGGUACCCUUAGCACAGGUGUGGAAAAUCAGAUCAGAAAGCUGAGAUUCAGGCUCCAUGAUUUGUCCAAGAUCACACAGCUCCUCAAGUGCCAUAACAAGAAUCUGAACCUGGAUCUGUGUGACAUCAAAGCCUGUGCUCUUAUCCACUGCCUUUUGAAUAAUGCAGUGUUAACUAAAGUGGUCACUGGCCUCUUAAGAAGUAGAGUCCUGCAGCUUCAGAUCUAUUAAUAACCUCUUUUCUCAUUCCCUACCCGACUCCCAGAUUUUCUUGAAUGAGAUGCCACUCUUCCUGCUGUUCUCCUGCCACCCCUCCCUCUGUCCCGAUCCCCUGUCCGUCAGUCCUCCUUCCAGGAAGCCUUCCCUGACCCCUAGCCUCCCUCUGCUUGCUGUAGUAAUUGUUGUCUCAGAGUCAUCGGAGGGCACCGACAGUGACUAGGAGCAUGUGUUCUCAAGCCAGACUGGCUGGUUUCGGAUCCUAGCUCCUCCCCUUUGUUGUGUGACUUUGGACGAUAUACUUAAUCAUUGUGCCUUAGGUCUCAGCCUCUCUAAAAUGGGGGCAGGAAUUGUACUACUUCACAGCAUUGUUGUGAGGAUUAAAAUGUAAAGGACAUAGAAUGAUCUAACACAUGGUAAACAUCUAGAAAGCAUUGACUAUUAUCAGUAAUCAGUCAUGCACUGAUUAUAUCAUCUUCUUUUUUGGUUUUCUUGUUACUUAUUUUUUUCGAUAUUUGUGUUUUCACUCAACUAAAUAGUUGUUUCCUCCAAAGCAAGGUGUUUUCUCGAUUUGCACAUGUCAUGUGGCAUCCGGUAUAUACUAAGAAUAUGAUGUGUACAUUUAAUUUUGAUUUGUAAUUUUAAGUCUGAAAAGAAUGUCUAUAUGGGACUUUAUUCUGAGAUAAGGCAAUUUCAUUAUGACUGGAAAAAUACGAGAUUCCUAUGCAGUAGUAUUCAUGUUGGGCUUGUCUUGUCCUUCUUCUAUCAGACGGCACAUUUGAACUGAAAGUCUUGUUUCCCCAUCCCUAUACCCAGCAGUUAGGAGGUCAGAUUGCUGCCCUGGUCAGUCAUAGGCUUGUUAUAGAAAAGCAUCCUAGAAUUGGGAUGGUCUGAGAAGAGCAUCUGAGAUGAGUCCUCUCCUUCAACCCUGGAUGACCCUAAUGUCCAGAGAGGGUAAGCCUGAGGUCACCAGCUGGUGAAUGGCAAAGAUGGAACUAAAACCAAGAACUCUAGACUUCCCGCCCAUGCUUGAAGAACAGCAGUCAAUCCAGGUGUCUUGAGUGUGUGGUACGUUGAGAGCCUGAGGCUGGGUCACUAGCGUGAGCUUGAUCACCAAGUGAGAGAGUUUAGGUUUUCAUCUUUCAGACCAGUGGUUUUCAAACUUUGUUGACCACUCUUGACAGUAAGAAUUCUAUUUUUCAUCCUGAUUAAGUACACACACAUAUAUACCAAAAGCGAAAGUCUCACAAUGCAAUACUUAAUUCCUUUCUCCAUGCAAAGCACCCUAAUGUGUUCUGUUCUAUUAUUUUUAUUUAAUUUAUUUAGAUGCUAGUUAUACCUGCUAAAUUGCUCUCAUGUCUCACUAAUGGGUAUCAACUGGCAGUUUGAACAAAGACUUCUUUAGGCCAUGAGCUUCCCCGAAGGUGUUAAAGUGGGUCAAGACCCAAUCAAAGUGCAAGGGUAAGUCUGGCAAAUGUGUGUGACCUGAUAUGAAUUUAAUCAGCAAGCAGUUCGCAAAUGGAGACAGGCAUUGGCCAAGGCCUGAAGCUCAGCCUGCUCCGUCUGUAGCCAGCAUGGAAGCUCAGGUCUCUGGAUUUUCCAUUCUUUCUCAGGGACUGGUUCAGCUUUCCAGAUCUGUGUGUUUUCUUUCACAGACUCGUGCCUCUUUGCAAUGUUAUCCUUUCUCUGCUGAGUCUCCAACUCCAGUGCUCAGCUGUUUUCGCAUCUUCCCUUCCAGGCUGAGGACACGAAAAUGGCACUUCCCACGGGGCUCUCGGCUACAGAAAAAGCUGACGCCCAUGAGGAAGAUGAGCUUCGAGCUGCUGUAGAGCAGCGCAUCCAGUCACUGAUGACCAAGAUGACCGCCAUGGCAAAUGAAGAGACCCGUCUCACUGCAAACUCCGUGGGCCAGAUCGUGGGACUCUGCUCUGCCAAGAUCAAGCAGAUCGUGUCUGAGUACACGGAGAGGUUUCGGCAGUGCACAAGGAAACCAAGCAGUUCUUCACUUUAUAUAACACCCUGGACGAUAAAAAGGUCUAUUUGGAAAAAGAGGUAAGAGCCUUUAUAGAAAGAAAACAAUCCGACGUGCGGCUGCCAGUGCUGUUGACCCCGGGAAGCUCAGAUGAGCUUGGUGUCUGGGACGCGUUCCAUUUAAGUGGAAGGAGCGCCCGCUGUGUGCCCGCUGCUGGGAUACAGAGUCAGAGCGCAGGGUGCCCGGGAGCUCACACUACACGGGCUGAAGGGAGACUGGCGGACAGCGGUUUGAUGCUGCGAGGGAGAAAUGCCGCCAUGAAAAGAAACAGUGGAGGCUGGAGCGCUGCCUGUGGAGGGGGCCCUGGAGUUGGGGAAACUUUACUUUGAGUUUUAAAGAAAGGGAGGAACCAGCUAGAUGAAAUGGGAUUGUGGGCCGUUAGAGUUUACGUGGGGAAAAUAGCUGUUUUAUCCUCUGUCAGUGGCAGACAGAGGCAUGAAUUAAAAAGACUGUAAAAUUCAAAGCAGGGCUGAAAGGGGUUCUUGUGGGCACUGACAGCCCCUCCAUAUUGCUCUGACUCAGUCAGCUUAAGUCCAUUCAUGAUUCAGGUCUCCCUCAGGUUGGACCACAAAUGAUGGGGCAGGGUGUGCAGUUGAUUUCAAGUAAAGAAUAGUCCUGU